rnacentral:rRNA from 2 species
UACACAUGCAGUCGACGAUGAUGGAGAGCUUGCUCUUCGGAUUAGUGGCGAACGGGUGAGUAACACGUGAGUAACCUGCCCUUGACUCUGGGAUAAGCGUUGGAAACGACGUCUAAUACCGGAUACGAACCGCGAAGGCAUCUUCAGUGGUUGGAAAGAAUUUUGGUCAAGGAUGGACUCGCGGCCUAUCAGGUAGUUGGUGAGGUAAUGGCUCACCAAGCCUACGACGGGUAGCCGGCCUGAGAGGGUGACCGGCCACACUGGGACUGAGACACGGCCCAGACUCCUACGGGAGGCAGCAGUGGGGAAUAUUGCACAAUGGGCGAAAGCCUGAUGCAGCAACGCCGCGUGAGGGACGACGGCCUUCGGGUUGUAAACCUCUUUUAGCAGGGAAGAAGCGAAAGUGACGGUACCUGCAGAAAAAGCACCGGCUAACUACGUGCCAGCAGCCGCGGUAAUACGUAGGGUGCAAGCGUUGUCCGGAAUUAUUGGGCGUAAAGAGCUCGUAGGCGGUUUGUCGCGUCUGCUGUGAAAACUGGAGGCUCAACCUCCAGCCUGCAGUGGGUACGGGCAGACUAGAGUGCGGUAGGGGAGAUUGGAAUUCCUGGUGUAGCGGUGGAAUGCGCAGAUAUCAGGAGGAACACCGAUGGCGAAGGCAGAUCUCUGGGCCGUAACUGACGCUGAGGAGCGAAAGGGUGGGGAGCAAACAGGCUUAGAUACCCUGGUAGUCCACCCCGUAAACGUUGGGAACUAGAUGUGGGGACCAUUCCACGGUCUCCGUGUCGCAGCU